AUGAACGCUAGCUACAGGCUUAACACAUGCAAGUCGAGGGGCAGCAUGAACUUAGCUUGCUAAGUUUGAUGGCGACCGGCGCACGGGUGAGUAACACGUAUCCAACCUGCCGAUGACUCGGGGAUAGCCUUUCGAAAGAAAGAUUAAUACCCGAUGGCAUAGUUCUUCCGCAUGGUAGAACUAUUAAAGAAUUUCGGUCAUCGAUGGGGAUGCGUUCCAUUAGGUUGUUGGCGGGGUAACGGCCCACCAAGCCUUCGAUGGAUAGGGGUUCUGAGAGGAAGGUCCCCCACAUUGGAACUGAGACACGGUCCAAACUCCUACGGGAGGCAGCAGUGAGGAAUAUUGGUCAAUGGACGAGAGUCUGAACCAGCCAAGUAGCGUGAAGGAUGACUGCCCUAUGGGUUGUAAACUUCUUUUAUACGGGAAUAAAGUGAGGCACGUGUGCCUUUUUGUAUGUACCGUAUGAAUAAGGAUCGGCUAACUCCGUGCCAGCAGCCGCGGUAAUACGGAGGAUCCGAGCGUUAUCCGGAUUUAUUGGGUUUAAAGGGAGCGUAGGCGGACGCUUAAGUCAGUUGUGAAAGUUUGCGGCUCAACCGUAAAAUUGCAGUUGAUACUGGGUGUCUUGAGUACAGUAGAGGCAGGCGGAAUUCGUGGUGUAGCGGUGAAAUGCUUAGAUAUCACGAAGAACUCCGAUUGCGAAGGCAGCUUGCUGGACUGUAACUGACGCUGAUGCUCGAAAGUGUGGGUAUCAAACAGGAUUAGAUACCCUGGUAGUCCACACAGUAAACGAUGAAUACUCGCUGUUUGCGAUAUACAGUAAGCGGCCAAGCGAAAGCGUUAAGUAUUCCACCUGGGGAGUACGCCGGCAACGGUGAAACUCAAAGGAAUUGACGGGGGCCCGCACAAGCGGUGGAGUAUGUGGUUUAAUUCGACGCAACGCGAAGAACCUUACCAAGUCUUGACAUCCCUUGACAGGCAUAGAAAUAUGUUUUCUCUUCGGAGCAAGGAGACAGGUGGUGCAUGGUUGUCGUCAGCUCGUGUCGUGAGAUGUUGGGUUAAGUCCCGCAACGAGCGCAACCCUUAUCGAUAGUUACCAUCAGGUUAUGCUGGGGACUCUGUCGAGACUGCCGUCGUAAGAUGUGAGGAAGGUGGGGAUGACGUCAAAUCAGCACGGCCCUUACGUCCGGGGCUACACACGUGUUACAAUGGGGGGUACAGAAGGCAGCUACACGGCGACGUGAUGCUAAUCCCGAAAGCCUCUCUCAGUUCGGAUUGGAGUCUGCAACCCGACUCCAUGAAGCUGGAUUCGCUAGUAAUCGCGCAUCAGCCACGGCGCGGUGAAUACGUUCCCGGGCCUUGUACACACCGCCCGUCAAGCCAUGAAAGCCGGGGGUACCUGAAGUGCGUAACCGCAAGGAGCGCCCUAGGGUAAAACUGGUGAUUGGGGCU
rnacentral:rRNA from 1 species